AAGUCGUAACAAGGUUUCCGUAGGUGAACCUGCGGAAGGAUCAUUAUAGAAAUGAUUUGAUAGUGC
rnacentral:rRNA from 1 species